CCUCGUCCUAUUUGUUUCUCUAAUAAGAAUGUUAUACCAGUCGGAGUUCGGUUCUCCCCUUUUCCUGUUGUUUGUUCUUGAAAUUUUGAAAUUUUUUAUAAUUAUGGAUUUAAUUCGAGAUGUCCUCUUUUCAUCCUCUGUUUGUAGUUGCAAAUUUAUGUUCUUACACACAACCUCUUAUUAAAUUAUAUAUUAUGGAGUUCUAUUUGGAUGAGG
rnacentral:lncRNA from 1 species